rnacentral:rRNA from 1 species
UGCGCAGGUGGUUUUGUAAGUUAUCUGUGAAAGCCCCGGGCUUAACCUGGGAAAGCCAGAUAAAACUACGAGACUCGAGUACGGGAGAGGGCAGUGGAAUUUCCGGUGUAGCGGUGAAAUGCGUAGAGAUCGGAAGGAACACCAGUGGCGAAGGCGGCUGCCUGGCCUGAUACUGACACUGAGGCACGAAGGCGUGGGGAGGCAAAACA